GAUCAUGGCUCAGGAUGAACGCUAGCUACAGGCUUAACACAUGCAAGUCGAGGGGCAGCAUUGGAGUAGCAAUACUUCAGAUGGCGAUCGGCGCACGGGUGAGUAACACGUAUCCAACCUGCCGUUUACUCGGGGGAUAGCCUUUCGAAAGAAAGAUUAAUACCCGAUGGUAUAAAGAGUUCGCAUGUUCUCUUUAUUAAAGAAUUUCGGUAAGCGAUGGGGAUGCGUUCCAUUAGAUAGUUGGCGGGGUAACGGCCCACCAAGUCUACGAUGGAUAGGGGUUCUGAGAGGAAGGUCCCCCACAUUGGAACUGAGACACGGUCCAAACUCCUACGGGAGGCAGCAGUGAGGAAUAUUGGUCAAUGGACGAGAGUCUGAACCAGCCAAGUAGCGUGAAGGAUGACUGCCCUAUGGGUUGUAAACUUCUUUUAUAAGGGAAUAAAGUGAGGGACGUGUCCCUUUUUGUAUGUACCUUAUGAAUAAGGAUCGGCUAACUCCGUGCCAGCAGCAGC
rnacentral:rRNA from 1 species